rnacentral:rRNA from 1 species
GACGAACGCUGGCGGCGUGCUUAACACAUGCAAGUCGAACGAUGAAGCCGGAGCUUGCUCUGGUGAAUUAGUGGCGAACGGGUGAGUAACACGAGAGUAACCUGCCCUUGAAUCUGGGAUAACUGCGGGAAACUGUAGCUAACACCGGAUACGACCCUCGGCGGCAUUCCCUGGGGGUGGAAAGAAUUUCGGUCAAGGAUGGACCCGCGGCCUAGCAGCUAGUUGGUGAGGUAAAGGCUCACAAAGGCGACGACAGGUAGCCGGCCGGAGAGGGUGACCGGCCACACUGGGACUGAGACACGGCCCAGACUCCUACGGGAGGCAGCAGUGGGGAAUAUUGCACAAUGGGCGCAAGCCUGAUGCAGCAACGCCGCGUGAGGGAUGACGGCCUUCGGGUUGUAAACCUCUUUUAGCAGGGAAGAAGCGAAAGUGACGGUACCUGCAGAAAAAGCACCGGCUAACUACGUGCCAGCCGCCGCAGUAA